GGCCAGCGGCCGCGGUAAGACGGAGGGGGGAAGCGUUAAUCGGAAUUACUGGGCGUAAAGCGCGCGCAGGCGGUCUGUCAAGUCGGAUGUGAAAUCCCCGGGCUCAACCUGGGAACUGCAUUCGAAACUGGCAGGCUAGAGUCUUGUAGAGGGGGGUAGAAUUCCAGGUGUAGCGGUGAAAUGCGUAGAGAUCUGGAGGAAUACCGGUGGCGAAGGCGGCCCCCUGGACAAAGACUGACGCUCAGGUGCGAAAGCGUGGGGAGCAAACAGGAUUAGAUACCCGUGUAGUCAGGGUACGUAG
rnacentral:rRNA from 1 species